CGAACGCUGGCGGCGUGCUUACCACAUGCACGUCGCCCGGCAAGGCCCUGCUUUUGUGGGGUGCUCGAGUGGCGAACGGGUGAGUAACACGUGAGUAACCUGCCCUUGACUUUGGGAUAACUUCAGGAAACUGGGGCUAAUACCGGAUAGGAGCUCCUGCUGCAUGGUGGGGGUUGGAAAGUUUCGGCGGUUGGGGAUGGACUCGCGGCUUAUCAGCUUGUUGGUGGGGUAGUGGCUUACCAAGGCUUUGACGGGUAGCCGGCCUGAGAGGGUGACCGGCCACAUUGGGACUGAGAUACGGCCCGGACUCCUACGGGAGGCAGCAGUGGGGAAUAUUGCACAAUGGGCGGAAGCCUGAUGCAGCAACGCCGCGUGCGGGAUGACGGCCUUCGGGUUGUAAACCGCUUUCGCCUGUGACGAAGCGUGAGUGACGGUAAUGGGUAAAGAAGCACCGGCUAACUACGUG
rnacentral:rRNA from 1 species